rnacentral:rRNA from 2 species
UGCCCAGACAACUAGGAUGUUGGCUUAGAAGCAGCCAUCAUUUAAAGAGUGCGUAAUAGCUCACUAGUCGAGUGACACUGCGCCGAAAAUGUACCGGGGCUAAACAUAUUACCGAAGCUGUGGAUUGUCCUUUGGACAAUGGUAGGAGAGCGUUCUAAGGGCGUUGAAGCAUGAUCGUAAGGACAUGUGGAGCGCUUAGAAGUGAGAAUGCCGGUGUGAGUAGCGAAAGACGGGUGAGAAUCCCGUCCACCGAUUGACUAAGGUUUCCAGAGGAAGGCUCGUCCGCUCUGGGUUAGUCGGGUCCUAAGCUGAGGCCGACAGGCGUAGGCGAUGGAUAACAGGUUGAUAUUCCUGUACCACCUAUAAUCGUUUUAAUCGAUGGGGGGACGCAGUAGGAUAGGCGAAGCGUGCGAUUGGAUUGCACGUCUAAGCAGUAAGGCUGAGUAUUAGGCAAAUCCGGUACUCGUUAAGGCUGAGCUGUGAUGGGGAGAAGACAUUGAGUCUUCGAGUCGUUGAUUUCACACUGCCGAGAAAAGCCUCUAGAUAGAAAAUAGGUGCCCGUACCGCAAACCGACACAGGUAGUCAAGAUGAGAAUUCUAAGGUGAGCGAGCGAACUCUCGUUAAGGAACUCGGCAAAAUGACCCCGUAACUUCGGGAGAAGGGGUGCUCUUUAGGGUUAACGCCCAGAAGAGCCGCAGUGAAUAGGCCCAAGCGACUGUUUAUCAAAAACACAGGUCUCUGCUAAACCGUAAGGUGAUGUAUAGGGGCUGACGCCUGCCCGGUGCUGGAAGGUUAAGAGGAGUGGUUAGCUUCUGCGAAGCUACGAAUCGAAGCCCCAGUAAACGGCGGCCGUAACUAUAACGGUCCUAAGGUAGCGAAAUUCCUUGUCGGGUAAGUUCCGACCCGCACGAAAGGCGUAACGAUUUGGGCACUGUCUCAACGAGAGACUCGGUGAAAUCAUAGUACCUGUGAAGAUGCAGGUUACCCGCGACAGGACGGAAAGACCCCGUGGAGCUUUACUGUAGCCUGAUAUUGAAAUUCGGCACAGCUUGUACAGGAUAGGUAGGAGCCUUUGAAACGUGAGCGCUAGCUUACGUGGAGGCGCUGGUGGGAUACUACCCUAGCUGUGUUGGCUUUCUAACCCGCACCACUUAUCGUGGUGGGAGACAGUGUCAGGCGGGCAGUUUGACUGGGGCGGUCGCCUCCUAAAAGGUAACGGAGGCGCUCAAAGGUUCCCUCAGAAUGGUUGGAAAUCAUUCAUAGAGUGUAAAGGCAUAAGGGAGCUUGACUGCGAGACCUACAAGUCGAGCAGGGUCGAAAGACGGACUUAGUGAUCCGGUGGUUCCGCAUGGAAGGGCCAUCGCUCAACGGAUAAAAGCUACCCCGGGGAUAACAGGCUUAUCUCCCCCAAGAGUUCACAUCGACGGGGAGGUUUGGCACCUCGAUGUCGGCUCAUCGCAUCCUGGGGCUGUAGUCGGUCCCAAGGGUUGGGCUGUUCGCCCAUUAAAGCGGUACGCGAGCUGGGUUCAGAACGUCGUGAGACAGUUCGGUCCCUAUCCGUCGUGGGCGUAGGAAAUUUGAGAGGAGCUGUCCUUAGUACGAGAGGACCGGGAUGGACAUACCUCUGGUGUACCAGUUGUCGUGCCAACGGCAUAGCUGGGUAGCUAUGUGUGGACGGGAUAAGUGCUGAAAGCAUCUAAGCAUGAAGCCCCCCUCAAGAUGAGAUUUCCCAACUUCGGUUAUAAGAUCCCUCAAAGAUGAUGAGGUUAAUAGGUUCGAGGUGGAAGCAUGGUGACAUGUGGAGCUGACGAAUACUAAUCGAUCGAAGACUUAAUCAA